rnacentral:rRNA from 1 species
GUGGGGUAGGGGAGCGUUCUGUAAGCCGUUGAAGGUGGUCUGUAAGGGCUGCUGGAGGUAUCAGAAGUGCGAAUGCUGACAUGAGUAACGAUAAAGGGAGUGAAAAACUCCCUCGCCGGAAGACCAAGGGUUCCUGUCCAACGUUAAUCGGGGCAGGGUAAGUCGACUCCUAAGGCGAGGCCGAAAGGCGUAGUCGAUGGGAAACGGGUUAAUAUUCCCGUACUUCUUACAAUUGCGAUGGGGGGACGGAGAAGGCUAGGUGGGCCUGGCGACGGUUGUCCAGGUUCAAGUAUGUAGGCGG